UGGGGAAUAUUGGACAAUGGGGGGAACCCUGAUCCAGCCAUGCCGCGUGUGUGAAGAAGGCCUUAUGGUUGUAAAGCACUUUAAGCGAGGAGGAGGGUACUGGUAUUAAUACUACCAGGUACUGGACGUUACUCGCAGAAUAAGCACCGGCUAACUCUGUGCCAGCAGCCGCGGUAAUACAGAGGGUGCGAGCGUUAAUCGGAUUUACUGGGCGUAAAGCGUGCGUAGGCGGCUAAUUGAGUCGGAUGUGAAAUCCCUGAGCUUAACUUAGGAAUUGCAUUCGAUACUGGUUAGCUAGAGUGUGGGAGAGGAUGGUAGAAUUCCAGGUGUAGCGGUGAAAUGCGUAGAGAUCUGGAGGAAUACCGAUGGCGAAGGCAGCCAUCUGGCCUAACACUGACGCUGAGGUACGAAAGCAUGGGGAGCAAACAGG
rnacentral:rRNA from 1 species